rnacentral:rRNA from 1 species
UACGGAGGGGGCGAGCGUUAUUCGGAAUUAUUGGGCGUAAAGGGCGCGUAGGCGGCCUUGUAAGUCAAAGGUGAAAUCCCUCGGCUCAACUGAGGAACUGCCUUUGAAACUGCAAGGCUUGAGGCCGGGAGGGGGUAGCGGAGUUCCCAAUGUAGCGGUGAAAUGCGUAGAUAUUGGGAGGAACACCAGUGGCGAAGGCGGCUACCUGGACCGGUUCUGACGCUGAGGCGCGAAAGCGUGGGUAGCAAACAGG